rnacentral:rRNA from 1 species
GCUUGUCUCAAAGAUUAAGCCAUGCAUGUCUAAGUAUAGCAUCUAUACCGUGAAACUGCGAAUGGCUCAUUAAAUCAGUUAUCGUUUAUUUGAUAGUACCUUACUACUUGGAUACCAGUGGUAAUUCUAGAGCUAAUACAUGCUUAGAACCCCGACUUCGGAAGGGGUGUGUUUAUUAGAUAUAAAACCAACGCCCUUCGGGGCUUCUUGGUGAUUCAUGAUAACCUCACGGAUCGCAUGGCCUUGCGCCGGCGACGGUUCAUUCAAAUUUCUGCCCUAUCAACUUUCGAUGGUAAGGUAUUGGCUUACCAUGGUCUCAACGGGUGACGGGGAAUUAGGGUUCGAUUCCGGAGAGUGAGCCUGAGAAACGGCUAACACAUCCAAGGAAGGCAGCAGG